rnacentral:rRNA from 1 species
AUUGAACGCUGGCGGCAGGCCUAACACAUGCAAGUCGAGCGAGCGGCGGACGGGUGUGUAAUGUAUGGGGACUGCCCGAUAGAGGGGGCUAACUACUGGAAACGGUGGCUAAUACCGUCUACUGUCGGAUAACCCAUAUGGGAUUAGCUAGUAGGUAAGGUAAUGGCUUACCUAGGCGACGAUCCCUAGCUGGUCUGAGAGGAUGAUCAGCCACACUGGGACUGAGACCCGGCCCAGAGUCCGAAGGAGGCAGCGGUGGGUAAUAUUGCACAAUGGGCGCAAGCCUGAUGCAGCAGUGCCGCGUGUAUGAAGAAGGCCCUAGAGUUGUAAAGUACUUUCAGUCGGGAAGCGUUGCCGACAAGGGAAGCACCGGCUAACUCCGUGCCAGCAGCCGCGGUAAUUC